rnacentral:rRNA from 1 species
UACGUAGGGUGCAAGCGUUGUCCGGAAUUAUUGGGCGUAAAGAGCUCGUAGGCGGUCUGUCGCGUCGGAUGUGAAAACUCGGGGCUCAACCCCGGGCCUGCAUUCGAUACGGGCAGACUAGAGUACGGCAGGGGAGACUGGAAUUCCUGGUGUAGCGGUGAAAUGCGCAGAUAUCAGGAGGAACACCGGUGGCGAAGGCGGGUCUCUGGACAGUUCCUGACACUGAGGCACGAAGGCCAGGGGAGCAAACGGG